UUUUCCUAUUUCAAUGUUAUUUGUUGUUCGGUCGGUUAGAAAUUAAAAAUACAAGCCCAAUAGCCGUCAAACAUAUAAUAAGCGUUUGUCUCCGCAGUCCAUGGUCAAAAACGUACAACGACCAAAAUACGUUCAAAUAUCAGCAACCGCUGCAAAGGUCGGUAAGUAGAAAACGCCAGAGUGCUAACAGCCCCGACUGGCCGGUCUACAAAAAUUAUUUCCUAUUGGCCACUCGAAAUUAGUUCAGUUAUUCGCGGCUCAGUCCUGGGACCUGUCUUGUGUGCCUUGUCAAGAUGUCAAGCAGAUGCAGGCAGAGCGGUUUGUUCCCAACAGCAGACGCGUACGCUUACAAUGGUGUCAAAAUGUUAACCUAAUCGGACUUGCUCGGAAAUGACGGAUCUCUACACACACACACACACACACUCACAUCGGAGUACAAAAACAACAACAUACCUACCACACUAUCGGCAGCUCGGAAUGAUCAUAUUUCACGUUGUGCAAGAUUUCGUAUGUAACCCAACAAUGAGCAAUUCCCAUCGAUGUUGAUCGGCCGUGUCGAUGCGUGGAAAAUUCACAAAAUGACACAACACACUACUGAAUAGGUACACAAUUCGACAAGCGUGCACCCGGUUUUGGAUUUGAGUUAACUUGUAAUUGCGAUGAUACCAUUUUGUCAAAACAACAAUUGCACAGAGUCUGGCCGGCCAAUUGGAACUGUUCAGUUGUUCAACAACUCAAAACCAAUGACUAUAACCAACUUUUGGCGCAUUUUUUUAUCAUAAUAUAACAAUUUGUAAACCUGAUGUUUUUUUUAAGUUUUAAAUUUAUUUUUCAUUACCAUUAAGAAAAAUGUUCAAACUGACAAAUAAAUAUAUUUUUUAUUUUUGAGGAAAAACAGUAAUAACAAGUUUAAAAGUAAUUUUUCAAACGUGUAAUUGCUGUCUAAAGUGUGUAAAUUAUUGAAAAAAAUGUCAUUAAAGUAAUGACGUGUAAUAAUAAUUAUAG